UAAUCCCCACCCCGCCCUAAUGUGAGUCAAACCAACACCUGUAGAAGAAAAGCAAAAGCAGACAUGGUAGAUCACCUUGCAUACUUGAAGCAAUUGUGAAGCCAGAACUAGGAGAGUGGAAAGUAUCCAAGAGGAUGUGCCUCCCAUUACCUGAACCCAACUAAAAACCAGCAGACAUAGGAGUCCUGUAAACACAGCCUGGUGGUGUGUAUCCUCCGUGAUGGACCUCAGAAUACAGUCAAGCCAGAGGUUGGGUCUGAAGGCAAGUAGGACACAGGCUUGCAUAAUAGCCAAGGUUUGUGAAGUGUUUGCUUCGUACCUCAUACCAUGCAAAUCAAAUUACAUGGUAUAUCCAUAAGGAUAUACUAGAUUAUGCUGCAAUUUAAGCAAACAAAUAAAAAUCU